GAUGAAGAACGUAGCAAAAUGCGAUAAGUAAUGUGAAUUGCAGAAUUCAGUGAAUCAUCGAAUCUUUGAACGCACAUUGCGCCCGCUGGUAUUCCGGCGGGCAUGCCUGUUCGAGCGUCAUUUCAACCCUCAAGCCCCCGGGUUUGGUGUUGGGGAUCGGCUCUGCCCUUCUGGGCGGUGCCGCCCCCGAAAUACAUUGGCGGUCUCGCUGCAGCCUCCAUUGCGUAGUAGCUAACACCUCGCAACUGGAACGCGGCGCGGCCAUGCCGUAAAACGCCAACUUCUGAAUGUUGACCUCGGAUCAGGUAGGAAUACCCGCUGAACUUAAGCAUAUCAAUAAGCGGAGGA
rnacentral:misc_RNA from 1 species